UACGAAGGGUGCAAGCGUUGCUCGGAAUUAUUGGGCGUAAAGCGCACGUAGGCGGCCCGACAAGUCGGAUGUGAAAUCCCUCGGCUCAACCAAGGAAGUGCAUCCGAAACUGUCAGGCUUGAGUACAAAAGAGGAUCGCGGAAUUCCCGGUGUAGAGGUGAAAUUCGUAGAUAUCGGGAGGAACACCAGUGGCGAAGGCGGCGAUCUGGGUUGGAUACUGACGCUGAGGUGCGAAAGCGUGGGGGAGCAAACAGG
rnacentral:rRNA from 1 species